CCCAGCAGAACAUACUUGCGAACUACAAUAAAUAGACCAAAUAUAUAUGGUGAAAUGUUGCUUAUUUCGUUGUUUUAUCGUCAGAUAAAUUAAUGAUUAGUAAAUUUCCCACGUUACUUUCUGACUUUCACAUUCCCUAAGAGGAUCUAAAUGUACGUGAAAUAGGCCUAACUAACAAAAUAUAUUUGUUACUUUCAAUGAGGUUUACAUGGUUGUUCGAUUUUUCAGUUUCAACAUCUAAUUGGAAUUUCUCUGGAAAGUUUACAAUGCCCGAUAUUUCUACACAUCUGCCACAAAUUUAUGGAAAUCAAUAUUUAUAGAAACUGAACAUACCUUGGUUAAACGUAUAUGAAAUGGGUAACCAUCCUCGAAGAACAUCAACCAGCUGUCGGCAACAUGCAGGUUGACUGAGGAAUCCCCAGUGCGUGGUCACGGACCGUUCCCCAUAUAUCUACUGACUUCAUAUAAAUGAAAGUGUACUGAGGACUCACUAAUCUGCACUACCAGUAACAAAGUAAUCCGACAAUCAGACUGGACCCGGUCAUGUUAGAUACCAGUGGAAGGAGAUGAACAUACAAUUGACUCCGCAUCGAUGCAUGACUUCGCCCGGAACGCGGCAAGAAUUAACAAUGGAAGAAAAUAACUACA